UGUUUUUUCUUUGUUUGUUGUUGUUUUUGUUUGGUGUUUUUUUAUCUUUUCUCCCUGGACCUGAAGCUGACAUAAGAAGGGCCAAAGACCCACAGUUCCUCCUGCUUAUACACUCCUCGUGGCUGGGAGAUGACACCCCAGAGCAGCGGGCACUUAUGGCAGGUUAAAUCCCCCUAACCACCCCCAUUAUUCAGGAACAAGAGACCAGAAAGAAAAUCUCCAGGCACAGCUACUUUGAGAAGCAAAGCAAAAAUCUGGCCUGAAACAGAAAACCCCAGAGUAAUUCAAAUUUUAAAAGCUGGAAAGUGCUACGAUUUUCGAUGAAAUCCCUGCCUUGUCAACCACAAAGGCACCAGCUGGGUAGAGACUGAGCCGAGCAGAUGAGAUCAAGAACCUGGAGAGACCCUGGAGUCUCCCACAGGGCACCAUCUCACCAUUCCUGCAGAAAGAGCCUCGCCAAGCAUCACAGGAGGCUCCACCUCAACCAGCUUCAUCCUUGUCUGUGUUCCAGAUUAUGUGUUGCUUUGGCUCUAGAGCACCUUCCAGUAUUUCUGAUGAUGCCUCAGUUCUUUGGCUUUAAUUAGAUCCCAACAAUGCAUAAGCUAUAUUGGGGGAAUGGUUCCCUGUAGUUAUGAUAUUUUAUGAAAAAUCCUUUGCUAGGAUUUUUCCCCUCCUGAGGAGCUGAGGGCCUCAGGAGAGAAACGUAAAUAAUAACUGUCUGCUGCUGUGGAAUGCAACAGGUAUAUCUUCUACUGGUUCAUGUGGAUUGUUUUCACUUAAUGACUAAUCACACUCACCUGUGCUGAGGCUGUGAGCAGUCACAAGAUUUUGUUAUGCAUUCUCUUUUAUUUUUGUUCUUUGUAACUUUUUGAUUAUUUUUUCUGUUUUUUUAGUAUAGUUUUAAUGUAGUAUUUUAGUAAAAUAUAUAAGAUAAUAAAUCAACUUUCUGAGAAAAUAAA